GGUGACUCUCGUGGAGUGAACUUUUUAUCAAUACAGUUAUGGAAAGCCCGUUCGAAGAAAGCUGCAUCCUGAAAGCUCACCAGCAGAACCAGCCGGGAAAUGAGCCGGUGGAAAAACAAAGGAGCCCUUUUAUGCUGUCAAGCCCGAGGAACGGAGCCUCCAGGAGGCCAAGCGAACUUGGCGAUAUGGGGACUCCGACUAGAAGCAGAAGGCAAUUCGACCUUCCCGGUACAAACCUAAUUCAGCCGAAAACCCCAGACAACAAUAUUAUUGAACGAAAACUUAAAGAAAUUAUGAAAUUGUCUGGAAUAUUAAGGAUAAACGGCAUUAGAUAUCAAAGUACGAUGAACGAUUUAAAAGAGAUGGGAGAACUGGGUUUCGGAACGUCAGGCCACGUAUUCAAAAUGCUCCAUGUUCCUAGCCAGGAGAUCAUCGCAGUGAAACAAAUGAGGAGGUCGGGGAAUCCUGAAGAAAACAAGAGGAUAGCAAUGGACCUCGAAGUUGUGUUAAAAUCUCACGACUGCCCUUAUAUCGUUCAGUGCCUUGGCUGUUUUAUAACAGAUGCCGAAGUAUGGAUUUGCAUGGAGCUCAUGUCUACAUGUUUUGAUAAGCUGCUCAAAAGGCUCACGGCACCCAUCCCAGAACCUAUCGUCGGAAAAGUCACACUUGCUACUGUAAGAGCGCUACACUAUCUGAAAGAAAUGCACGGUGUUAUACACCGUGAUGUCAAACCGAGCAACAUCCUUCUAGACAACAGGGGCAACGUGAAGCUAUGCGACUUCGGCAUAUCGGGACAUCUUGUCAAUUCAAAAGCCGACACAAAAAAUGCAGGAUGCACUGCUUAUCUAGCUCCGGAAAGAAUAAACCCACCUGACCCUCUACAGCCAACUUACGACAUCAGAGCAGAUGUAUGGUCAUUAGGGAUUACCCUUGUCGAACUAGCUACCGGUGUUUUCCCAUAUCCUGGCUGUGAAUCGGACUUUGAGGUCCUGUCUAGAGUGCUUCAGGAUGAACCACCUAGUUUGCCUGAAGAUCAGGACUUCUCACCUCACUUUCGGGAUUUUGUUAAAUCCUGCCUUUCUAAAGACUAUAGAGUAAGACCUAAGUAUAGGAAACUUUUGGAACAUGCUUUUUUAAGAAAGUACAUGGAAGAAACUGUUGACGUCGCUUCAUGGUAUGCAAGGUGUACACCAGUCUCUCCAUCCCCGAUACAUAGAACUGGAAGUCAGGGCCAUCAGAGAUCACUCUCUGAUGUUUCCUCUGCUGCAGGGUCAACCAGUGCACCAUCAAAUUUUGCAAAUUACAGGUUAAAUUCACCUUUAUUGGGGAGAAGGCAGAAUAUAAAUGGAUAUAUUGACAGCGGUGGAGGUGGUUAUGAUAGAGGGGGUGGAGGAGGUGGAAGCACUUCUCCUCUCAUACUCCAACGGUUUUAUCAUCAACAAGCACAUCGCCAUCGGUCAACUUCGGUGUCACCUUGUCGUCAAUUGAGCUACAACGGAAUGAAAAACACGGAUGAAACACCGCCCUCCUCCGCAGGGACACGGAGAAAACUCUCUUCCUAUCUGCGCAUGCGACUCGGUGGUUGCGGCGGCGGUUCGGCGAGCUCUAGCAGCGACACCGGACCUGAACCUCCCCCGAGGGUCAAUAGGACUGCGUCGCCUUUACUGACGCGACGGAACCAUUUAGAAGCAGAUUUAACUUCAUCUCCAAUUUUAACCAGGAGGAAUGAUAUUUGCAAUGCAUGAAGAAGUCAUACCCUGAUUGGUCAUCCUGAAAAAUACUUCAAAAUGUGUGGAAUCAAACUUCUACCCGACCUACCCAACAGUCCUGAACUCCUCAUCCCUUUAGACUACAACCUUGGGACAUCACAUCUCUUCAGAUACGUGUCUCCAUCACCUCCGCAACCUCCCCCACGUCGACUCUCAGAGAGCAUGUCCAUGCCAGGGUCACCGCAUCACACCCGGCU
rnacentral:misc_RNA from 1 species